GGAUUUAGAGCAGGAGGACUGGAGAUUGACAACAAACCUCGAGCUCCUCUUCUUUUUCUCUGAAUCGAGCUCUCCGCUGGCGACGUAUGCCACAAUCUUCUUGGAAUCACGCCCGGCCGCCAUCUGAAGCAUGCGAUGGAUGUCCGAACCCUAACCCCGUGGCCGCCUCCCCGGCCGUCGAUGUAUCCGGCGCGCUGCUCCUGGUCCUUGGCUAUCUCCGCCUGCCGGAGUGGUUGGCCUUCCAGGGCGUCUCGCGCCUCUUCAGGGACUCGGUCUCGCUGGACAUCUUGCUUUGGCGGCGCGUCGCGAUCGAGCGCCUUUGAGCUCGCGGCUUACUGACGAAGCCCUCGUCCGUAUCACGUCGAGGGCCGAUGGGAAGUUGGAGGCUUUAUCAAUCCUGGAUUGCUGGAAGGUCACCGACGAUGGGCUCAUGCAGGUUGUGAAUCGAAAUCGAGGCAUCACCAAGCUUCAUGUACCUGGAUGCAUGCAACUAAGUGCUGAUGGUGUAGUGAGAAUACUAAAGUGGCAUUAUGAGCUAAAAGGCCGGUUGAAGAUACUAAAAUAGGAUCGCUUUUUAGGAAUUUGAAAUGAAAAUCUGAGCUAGUGCUUGGAGUCUUAUUUCCCUCUAGAAAGAUUACAAACUUAAGCUUAAGAGCUGAGACAGACUAGGAAUAAACAACUUAGUGUUGUUCAAGUGUGUCUAAACCUCGUACUCGCUCUUUCUUAUAUAGGCAGAGGAAAGUUGCAGAUAAAAUCAAAGCGGGUGCUUAUUGGGCCCCAUCGUCCUUUGAUUCUCUACCUUUUGUCUGUCAUUUACAAACUUUACAGCUAUUCGAAAGGACGGCUUAUAAACUUUACAGCUAAUAAUAUUCGAAAAGAAAAGCUCCCCGAGGCUCAAUCCUUUCUUCUUUAUUAAAGCACUUUUACACAUGUCUUCUUUGGAUGCUUUUGGGCUCACCACUUGCUUUCUUAUUAGGGUGGAGUUUCUUGUAUUAUUCGAAACUCCGCCCUAAUCAGAAAGCAAGUGGUGAGCCCAAAAGUAUCCAAAGAAGACAUAUGUAAAAGUGCUUUUAAUAAAGAAGAAAAGAUUGAGCCUCGGGGAGCCUUCCUUUUCGAAUAUUAUUAACUGUAAAAUUUGUAAGCCGUCCUUUCGAAUAGCUGUAAAGUUUGUAAAUGGCAGACAAAAGGUAGAGAAUCAAAGGACGAUGGGGCCCAAUAAGCACCCGCUUUGAUCUUAUCUACAACUUUUCUCUGCCUAUAUAAGAAAAAACGAGUAAGAGGUUUAGACACACUUGAGCAACACCAAGUUCUUUAUUCCUAGUCUGUCUCAACUCUUAAGUUUGUAAUCUUUCUAGAGGAAAUUAAGACUCCGAGCACUAGCUCAGGUUUUCAUUUCAAAUUCCUAAAAAGCGAUCUUAUUUUGCUCUCCAGAUUCAUGGAAUCCCUAACCUAACAAUCUAUCAUAUUGACGCUCUGAACUUAUUGUUUAAAAAUGAUGUUCUGCAAGUUUCAUAUCCCAUCAACUAUAACAACUGGCCGUCUAACAUCUUCGACGGUGACCGACUGAUAGAUGUUGAUAUUUGCCCAAAGUGCAGUAAUGUUCGAAUAGUUUUUGAUUGUACGAGGGAGAACUGCAGGUCUGGGAAGUCACAAUGGAGAGAAUGCAGAGGUUGUUUCUUUUGCAUUGCAAGGUGCGAAGACUGUGGAGGUUGUUUUGAUUUUUCAAAACUCAGUGAAGAAGCUAUCUGCUCUCACCUUCUCUGCCAGACAUGUUGGCUUCAUCUGCCAAAAUGCAAUGUCUGCAGUCGUCCAUAUUGCAAUAGGGAUUCGAAUAUCCUUGAAGGUUCUUCCAAGUUUCUUGGUUUCCUGUGUGGGCAAUGUAUGGAGUCCACUAGCUCAUCGUAUCAAUCUUACAGUGGAUAAAUUCCUUAAACUUCUGUUAUAUUGACCUGCUUCAAGUAA